GCCAGGUUGCCUUGAAGGUUUUUUUUGUUUUUUUUUUCCUUUCCUUAGGGAGGAGAUCCUACCACAAGCUUCAAAUUUCCCCCGGGUCGUCCCCACUUUGCAAACUGACACAGAACAUGGAUUGUGAAUUCGAGUUCCACAUUGAGUGAGUUCAAGCCCUGCUUUGGGUGAGCACAAGCCCCACAUGUGGUGAGCACGAGUUCUGCAUGGGGUGAGCACCAGCCCUGCUUCGGAGUUUCAACCGUUCUGGAGGUUGGAAGUCUAAGGUCACCAUGGUGCCAGCAUAGUUGGGUUUUGCUCCAUUAAUUCCUGGCUAUAUGACCAGGGACAGGUUCCUUGAAUCUCACCUCCUGUAUUUUGCAAGGGAUGAUACCAUGUCUCUACUUACCUCAAAAGAUGAAUGCAAAAAGUGUCAUCAGUUAACAAACAUGAAGUCAUUCUGUAAUUGCAAGAUAACCCUCUGAUGGCUCUGAGGAAUGUUAACCUCUGGAGUAGCAGCUCUCAACAAAACAUGGUCCUGCUGAUGUUUCAUGCCUCUGUCGAAAAGGCAAGAACUGCAUUUUCCUUAGGAAAAAAACAAACAAACAAACGCUAUUCUUUUGAAGUUUGACAAAUUACAAGACAACAAGAUUUAGAGAGAAUUGAGAAGACAUAAGAUAGUCUUAUGUCUUCAUAAGACUCAUCUUGCCACCCAGAUAUCCAUCACCCUCCUGUCAUGCUAUAACAGGAGCUGCUAUAACACUCCACUUCCACUUACUGAAUGCAUUCACAAUGUACCAAUCAAUCUGUCAUAGAUAUUUUUUAUGUCCUUACUGUGUGCUAGGGGCUGGGAAAAAAUGAACGUGGAACUGAUAUGUAGAGGUGCCCUGCUGCAUCCCAGGAACUGUGUUAUGUAUGAUGUGUCAUUUAAAUCUCACAACCACCUUGUAUCCCUGAACCCUAUUAUUAUGCAGACCCCUGAAUUGGGUGGACUGUCUCUCAGCCAGAAUUUGGAGAGAUCAAGGAGGCACUGAUUGAUCUUCCCCACCACGGAAAAUUACCACUCUGGCAACUCUGCAAGUUAACAAGAUGACCCACGUCCUCGUUUUGCAGAUGAGGAACUGAGGCCAAGAGAAGUUAAGUGACUUGACAAAAAUCAUAGCAGAACUGAAACUUGUGUGUAUUUUCACGUUAUUGAAAUCAAUUUUUGUGCCUAGAGAAGAGCUAUUCAAGAUUAUUUUGGUGCAAAAUUAGUAUUCAAUUAAUUUGAAACCCUUGUUUUUCUUAAGCUUGUAUGCUAGUUUAUAAAUUGAAUUAAGAACCUUAUCAAUUUAGCAAGUUUAAUAAUUACUUUGAAGGAAUACUUUACAACUUAAUUAAAUUCUUUGAAUAUCCAGCCACAUUUAUUAAUAUGAUAUAUAUUUAUUUCCUUUUAAGUACAUUGUGUGACUUAACAGUCUUUCCAAUAACUUAAUUAAUUCUUAUAAAUCUAAUAAAUUAAGUUUUUAGAUAUGGUGAACUUCAGUUUCUCUUAAAUGUUUCAAAUGAAAUUUCAAUCUGAAAUGUUAAGUCUAAAGCAAUGAAUCAAUUACUCAUUUUAACUUGGAAUUAUAAGAUUGACCUCUUAUUCUAAUAGGUCUAAUUUUCUUGAACAGUACAAAUAAUUAAACUUCAAAAUAAGCACAGAUUCCUAAAGACAAAUAUUUUAAUGCUUUUAUAUUUUGGUUUUCUUAUUCAUAAAACAAAAUUUUGCUAUCAUUAAAAGAUAAGGACACAAUGCUAUCUCCCCAUUAAUUUUGAUGUUACUUUCCUAAAGUAAUUUUAGCAGAUGCCUUCUCAAUUUUCUGGGGUUUCUUAAAUACCAGAAAUAUCAACAGGACAUGACUGGACCCUUAUCUGUUGGGACAAUGUGUCUGUUGGGACACAUUGAGAUCUAUUUACCUAAGUCAGUUCUCUCUGUGGUAGACAGCAUUCCAAGAUGACCUUUAAGAUUUCUGCCCCCUAGUGUGCACAACCUGCAUAACCACCUCCCCUUGGGUGUGGGUAGAAUUUGUGAAUAUGAGGAGUUAUUACUCUUACAAUUGUUACAUUACAUGGCAAAAGGAAUUUCCCAGAUGUGACGAAUUUCCAGAUGGAAUGAAUUUAAGUUAAUCAAAGGGGGGGAAUUUCCCAGGCAGGUCUGAUUUAAUCAGGUGAGCCUUAAAAGUAGCCAGAAGCAGUAAGAGUACUCUCCUGCUGGCCUUGGAAAGGGACCUUCAAGUCUGAAAGGAGGUCAUAGCCCUGGAUGACACCUUGAUUUCAGUCUUGAUUUCAGCCUGAUAAAACUCUGAGCAGAAGAUCCAGCCAACCCACAUCCAGAGUCCCCCUUAGGAACUGCCAGAUAAUAAAUUUGUUUUGCUUUAACUUGCUAAGUUUGUGGUGAUUUGUUAGAAAUCAAUUUAAAAAAUGAAUACAUUCUCCAACAGGGGUGGUCUUACCACUUGUGUGCUUCAAGUUCAAGUUAUACAUAUCUAAAGCUUUCGUCCACUAACAGAGACCUGAAUGCACCACCACCCCCAACUCCAGGCUGUUGUUCCUUGAUAGGAUUUUGCAUCGUUUGCCACCCAUGCCAAGAACUACCCCAAGCACUGUAUACUAAUGAACCUCAUAUAAUCCUCCCAAUGACUUCAUUUGAUCAAGGAUAUAACGGCAGUGUGGAGUAAUUCCCAAAGAUGACACAGAGGUCAUUCGGUC